rfam:Ancylostoma ceylanicum strain HY135 Acey_s0077_scaf, whole genome shotgun sequence.
AGCUUUGCGCAGAGGCGAUAACGUGACCAAUGAGGCUCUGCCGAGGUGCGUUUAUUGCUGGUUGAAACUUCCAUCG